rnacentral:rRNA from 1 species
GUGGGGAAUCUUAGACAAUGGGGGAAACCCUGAUCUAGCCAUGCCGCGUGAGCGAUGAAGGCCUUAGGGUUGUAAAGCUCUUUCAGCUGGGAAGAUAAUGACGGUACCAGCAGAAGAAGCCCCGGCUAACUCCGUGCCAGCAGCCGCGGUAAUACGGAGGGGGCUAGCGUUGUUCGGAAUUACUGGGCGUAAAGCGCGCGUAGGCGGACUGAAAAGUUGGGGGUGAAAUCCCGGGGCUCAACCUCGGAACUGCCUUCAAAACUAUCAGUCUGGAGUUCGAGAGAGGUGAGUGGAAUUCCGAGUGUAGAGGUGAAAUUCGUAGAUAUUCGGAGGAACACCAGUGGCGAAGGCGGCUCACUGGCUCGAUACUGACGCUGAGGUGCGAAAGCGUGGGGAUCAAACAGGAUUAGAUACCCCUGUAGUCC